GACGAACGCUGGCGGCGUGCUUAACACAUGCAAGUCGAACGAAGUGGCGAACGGGUGAGUAAUACGUGAGUAACCUGCCCUCCUCUUGGGGAUAAGCCUUUGACACGGGGUCUAAUUCCGCAUAAAGGGGGAUGGGCUCGCGGCCUAUCAGCUUGUUGUUGGGGUGAUGGCCUACCAAGGCGGUGACGGGUAGCCGGCCUCGGCGGGUGACCGGCGACGUUGGGACGGGGAUACGGCCCGGCCUGCGACGGGGGGCAGGCGUGGGGGACAUGUCACAAUGGGCGAAAGACUGAUUCGGCGACGCCGCGUGGGGGAUGAAGGCGUUCGGGUUGUAAACGGCUUUCGCUGUCGAGCGGGUAAGUGGAGAAGGAGCGCGGGCUAACUACGUGCCAGCAGCCGCGGUAAUUC
rnacentral:rRNA from 1 species